AUGCCCUCUUCUGGUGUUUCUAAGAACAGUAACAGUGCACUCACAUACAUAAAAUAAAUCUUUUUAAAAAAAGAGUUUUUCUAGACUACUGAUUAGUUGUUGUAAUUAUUGUAUUAAUAUUAUAGAAUAUUUUUAAAUGUUCUAUUCUUUUGUAUAUUCCUAAGUCCACAAAUUUACUAUAACAUUUGUCUUCUCCUGUGGAAAUUAUUUAUUAUUGCACUUUUUCUUUGUGAAUAAGCUCUGAGUCAUCUGAACAUAUACAGUAAUUGUAAAUAAACCAAGUUGUCUAUGUAAUUAUACUAUGUGGUUUGAAUUGGUAGAGAAUAACAAGAAAUAGAAAAGAAGAGUGAAGCCAAAAAUGGUUAUUGCAUUCUUUAAAUAGUAAAGUAAAAGUCAAAAAUGUCUUUCUUUGGUAGUGUGAUUAUCUUAGAGUGUUCUAACUAUGAAUACAUAUGGCACCUUACUGUUUUGCUAAAGUUACUAUUGUACUGGGGUUUUCUAAAUCUUUUCUCUCUCAGAACACAGAUCUUAACCAAAUCCCAAGUGUAUCUCAAUAUUUUAUCUACAAAAUUAACUGUUUAGCAUUCUGACUGGGUAUAUGAAACUACCAUUGAUUUCAAAUCAUGGAAAUUUUAAUAGAUGUUGUUAUAAUUAUAGUGUCUUGUUUUAUGUUGCUCUUUCUCUUAGAUGAAUUCUAUCUCUUUCAUCUACUUCCAGCAUACUGAAUUAAUUGUAAAUAUUCAUGGGCUUUCUAGAUUGAUAGAGUCUGCUAAAUUAAAAAUUGUUUUUUUCAUGACUCCAUUUAUCAUAUCCCUCACAAUAGCCCUGUAACUUUCUUACUACUCAUAUCUCUACUGAACAAGUAACUUUAUUUAGAGAAAUCUGUAGAAAAAUUAAUUAUAUAUUCAUGUCAUUUUCAGGUUGAACUUUUUAUGUGCAAUUUGCUUUCUAACAACUAAAUCAUUCAAAGGGCAAUAAUUCCUAGGAAAACAUUGAUGCUUUGCAUAGAUAGAAAAAUUCAUUUUGUGCCCCAAAUGAUUUGGUGUGAAGUCUUAAUCAUCAAUAACUUUGAACAUGUGUGUCUUCCUUAAUAAGAAAAACCCAUUGCCUAUAAUACAUGCUACC
rnacentral:lncRNA from 1 species